rnacentral:rRNA from 1 species
CCUACGGGAUGCAGCAGGCGCGAAAACUUUACAAUGCGGGAAACCGUGAUAAGGGAACACCGAGUGCCAGCAUCAUAUGCUGGCUGUCCAGAUGUGUAAACUACAUCUGUUAGCAAGGGCCGGGCAAGACCGGUGCCAGCCGCCGCGGUAACACCGGCGGCCCGAGUGGUGACCGUUAUUAUUGGGUCUAAAGGGUCCGUAGCCGGUUUGGUCAGUCCUCCGGGAAAUCUGAUAGCUUAACUGUUAGGCUUUCGGGGGAUACUGCCAGGCUUGGAACCGGGAGAGGUAAGAGGUACUACAGGGGUAGGAGUGAAAUCUUGUAAUCCCUGUGAGACCACCUGUGGCGAAGGCGUCUUACCAGAACGGGUUCGACGGUGAGGGACGAAAGCUGGGGGCACGAACCGGAUUAGAUACCCAGGUAGUCC